rnacentral:tRNA from 1 species
UCCCCUGGAGUUCGACGCGGAACACCGCGCCGUUCACGCGGAAAUUCGGGUUCGAAUCCCGGCGGGGGAG